GUGGGGAAUAUUGGACAAUGGGCGAAAGCCUGAUCCAGCCAUGCCGCGUGUGUGAAGAAGGUCCUCGGAUUGUAAAGCACUUUAAGUUGGGAGGAAGGGCAGUAAGUUAAUACCUUGCUGUUUUGACGUUACCGACAGAAUAAGCACCGGCUAACUUCGUGCCAGCAGCCGCGGUAAUACGAAGGGUGCAAGCGUUAAUCGGAAUUACUGGGCGUAAAGCGCGCGUAGGUGGUUUUGUAAGUUGGAGGUGAAAUCCCCGGGCUCAACCUGGGAACUGCCUCCAAAACUGCAUGACUAGAGUACGGUAGAGGGUAGUGGAAUUUCCUGUGUAGCGGUGAAAUGCGUAGAUAUAGGAAGGAACACCAGUGGCGAAGGCGACUACCUGGACUGAUACUGACACUGAGGUGCGAAAGCGUGGGGAGCAAACAGGAUUAGAAACCCCAGUAUCC
rnacentral:rRNA from 1 species